rnacentral:tRNA from 1 species
GGCCGCCUGGCGAAAUGGCAUCGCGUCUGACUACGAUGCUUACGUAACGAUCAGGAGAUUGCAGGUUCGAUCCCUGCGGUGGUCA